rnacentral:rRNA from 1 species
UUGUCUUUAAUUGAUCUGACGAGCUUGCUCUGAAGUGAUUUUAUCUGACAAAGAGUGGCGAACGGGUGAGUAACACGUGGGUAACCUCCCUCUUAGCAGGGGAUAACAUUUGGAAACAAGUGCUAAUACCGUAUAAUACCAACAACCGCAUGGUUGUUGGUUGAAAGCUGGUUCUGCUAUCACUAAGAGAUGGACCCGCGGUGCAUUAGCUAGUUGGUAAGGUAACGGCUUACCAAGGCAAUGAUGCAUAGCCGAGUUGAGAGACUGAUCGGCCACAAUGGGACUGAGACACGGCCCAUACUCCUACGGGAGGCAGCAGUAGGGAAUCUUCCACAAUGGGCGCAAGCCUGAUGGAGCAACGCCGCGUGUGUGAUGAAGGGUUUCGGCUCGUAAAACACUGUUAUAAGAGAAGAACGGCACUGAGAGUAACUGUUCAGUGUGUGACGGUAUCUUACCAGAAAGGAACGGCUAAAUACGUGCCAGCAGCCGCGGUAAUACGUAUGUUCCAAGCGUUAUCCGGAUUUAUUGGGCGUAAAGCGAGCGCAGACGGUUAUUUAAGUCUGAAGUGAAAGCCCUCAGCUCAACUGAGGAAUGGCUUUGGAAACUGGAUGACUUGAGUGCAGUAGAGGAAAGUGGAACUCCAUGUGUAGCGGUGAAACGCGUAGAUAUAUGGAAGAACACCAGUGGCGAAGGCGGCUUUCUGGACUGUAACUGACGUUGAGGCUCGAAAGUGUGGGUAGCAAACAGGAUUAGAUACCCUGGUAGUCCACACCGUAAACGAUGAGUGCUAGAUGUUCGAGGGUUUCCGCCCUUGAGUGUCGCAGCUAACGCAUUAAGCACUCCGCCUGGGGAGUACGACCGCAAGG